rnacentral:lncRNA from 1 species
AUGGUUUUGCUUCAUUUCAAGUUCUCAAAAGAUUAUGAUGGUUGUACAGGUGAAUCAAUAUGGUCUCCUCAGCCCAACCCUCUAUUGAUUUGAAAAUCUCUAUAGUUUGCGGUCGCACAGAGUGUCACCUAAAGAUGAACCUCUCAUGAUGGGGUAAACGGCUUCUUGGUACUUUCAACCCUUUGUAAGAAAUGAGAAGAGUCCCAAAAGAAGAGAUUUAAUUACAAACUUAGAUAUUCAGAACUGUGACUAAGAUGAAGAGUGAAGGUAUACCGUCUCAUGCACAUGCGCCUCUUUCUUUCUUCUCCUCCUCCGAUUCCUGGCACGCAUUGCGGCGGUAAGUUUGUAAAUUGCUUAAUACAAAUUUUUAGCUUCCACACAUACAUUUAAAGCACCUGUUGGGCAUCUCUUGAUGUAAAGAUUUCAAUAAUAAACGAUCUAGACUAAUAUAAAGAGACUUAUAUACUGAAAUGAUUCACUUUUCUUCUUACAAAAUGUCAAAGCAAUGAUAUCCAGACAACAAUCGAUAGAUCUAAACAUCAAACAGUAUUUACUCAAACAAACUGAAGACAAAGAACAACUCAAUCGAUACAAGAAUGAACAACUCUCAACUCCCAACUACAGAUGAUUAUCAACACGAUAACCAUCAAACACUUAACAGAUCUCACACACGAAUCACUAAAAACAAGAUGAUUUAGCGAUAAUCAACAAGAACCCCUAAGCACUUUAGAGAGAGAAACUAGAGAAUACUGAUAAAAAAUAUCUGAGUUGUUACCCCUCAAUAAUGCACUAAGACACCUUUUAUAUUGACCCGGUAUCCACUUUGAUGUCCAGAUAACCCGAACUUAGUUAAAACAACAGCAGCAGCCCAAUAGACUUCAACCGCAACCCAAUAGACUUCAAUAGCAGCCCGAACAACCCAACUGUAACAGCCCAUCUGCCUUUUAUUUUAACCAGCACAUUUCAGCUUAAAGCCCACUUGCAUAAGUCCAUACCAUGGAUACCUCAUUUAAGCAAAUAAAAAUAUUAGAAAACAUUUUAUAAAAUAUAAAACUGGUUGUAUAAUAUAUUUUUAACACAAAACACAUAGAAGUAGCAACAAUAUGUUUAAUAUUCUACAAACGAAAAAAACCAUACAUAAACCGACAGGAUUAUUAACAUCCAAAGCAAUAAAAAAACGAAACUAAACUGGAAUAGUAAGCAACAUUUUCAUAGGCUGUAUAAGUGUGUGCCUUAAGAAUAAAGCUUUAGGAAACUUUCGACUUGUUUGAUCGGUUUCCAUUUUCGCUAUAUUUUUUUAUUUAUAAAUUUGAUCCGUCAAAGUUAAGACAAUAUAUGCUUAUAAAUAAAACAAUUUGUGCAUCAAGGCAAGAUUUAGAUAUAAGCAAACCAACUGCUGCAAGCUGUUUUGAACUCUAAUGGUCAAAAUAUUCUGCUCUGAGCUAAUCUAUAAUACUGUAAUAAAAAAUUGUAAAAUUAGCAUAAGACCAGCAGGAUAACUAAAU